AGAAGAGAGAAAACGGAGCAAGCUGCAGCAAAAAUAAACGGUGAAGCGCGACGAUGCCGGCCAAGAAGACCCCCAGUUACUUACCGGCCUGCUUACCAGCCAUUUUGACCAGAAAGAGAAGCGUUGCCUUCUGGGCGAACAGAGAAAGGCCGCUUGCGCAGGCGCAGUUCUGACGACUGCCGUUCAGCACCUGCGUAAGCACCUCUCGGCCAGGGUGAGGCCAAUGGAGUAGGCGGGGCAUUUUGCGUGCUACAUUCUAAGAAGUAUUGGUUGUGAUGUGAUGGGAAGAACACAGGCAGUCCUGUAUACAGCACUAAAGCUGAUGAAUGAUCUAUCUUACACUAGCCAAAGUGAAGUCUGAAAGAUGUGAAGAAAUGCAGUACAUUUGUACAUUGGCACAUUGCCCUGCAGAGGGCUGGCAACACUCCAGAAAUGAUGGAGACAGGAUACAUCAACCUGUAUCACUGAAGAUGAUGUGGAGCAGAGCCUUUGUGGUCCUAAGAAACAUGUAUAAGAUAAAAACUUUUGUGGUUUUUCAAUCAU
rnacentral:lncRNA from 10 species